rnacentral:lncRNA from 1 species
UUGACUAUGGGUUGGAUAAGUCGUUAACAAUAGAAUAAGCUGCUAGAGAACAUUGCUUAAUUUUCUAAAUUAAGAAUAAUUCUUAAAUUUGUGAAUCAGUCUAUAUAAUUGGUUUCGGUUAAUCAGUUGAUAUCUAAGAUUUAAGCUAGAGGGUUGGAAGCUAACACAACGAACAGUAGAGAGCAAAAAUUCUAAUUGGAUAUUUGUACUUAUUUUUAUAAUUUACUCUAAGAAUUUUUAGAUGUAAAAGGAUAUUGGGAAUUAUGUCUUAAAACUAAUUGUGUGACGAUUGAGUUCAUCCUUAUA